GUGUGUGUGUGUGUAUGUUUGUGUUUUAGUAGGAUUUUCUUCUUUGUAAAUAUAUCUGAAUUAGCUUAAAUUCAAGGGGAAUUUGUUUGCAAAAAUUUUUUUGACUACUUGCCUUUAGUUCCCCCUUACCUGGAACUUUCCUCCCAAAUCCCAGCAUUCUUAGCAGAUCUAGACUCUGAUCUGUUUCUUCUGCCCAGCGAAACUGACACUCUGUGCUUGAGCUCUAUUUUCCUGUGCAAGAAUUGGAUGAUAACUUCAGCUCCACAAUAACCAGAAAAGCCAACAACCUCACAGUCAUAAGUGCAAAAAAAAGCAGUCCAGUAACCACUAGAGAGGACAAAAUGGUGUUGAAGCAUCCCAAGAAAGUGCCAUUUGCAGUGAUUUUUAUUACUGGGCCUGUCUGGAAGCUCCCUGAAAGUCUCCAUUCACAGAAAUUAUCUUCAUUUGACCUCCUGCAGAAUCCACUCAGUGCAAACAGCCUUUUUCCUGGAGCACUUGUCAAAAACUUUCAGUGGCAAUUGCAUAACAUUGUAGUUGCCUGAGGUGGUGUCUUAGACUGUUCAUGUUGCUGUAACAAAAAUGUUCAUACUAGUGGCUUAUAAACAACAGAAAUUUA